rnacentral:tRNA from 1 species
GGGGAUUUAGCUCUGCGGCAUAAGCGCCUGCCUUGCAAGCAGGAAGUCGUGAGUUCGAUCCCCG